UACGUAGGGUGCAGGCGUUGUCCGGAAUUACUGGGCGUAAAGGGCGCGUAGGUGGCCUGUUAAGUCGGGUGUGAAAACUCUGGGCUCAACCCAGAGCCUGCAUUCGAUACUGAUGGGCUAGAGUUCUGGAGGGGAAAGCGGAAUUCCUGGUGUAGCGGUGAAAUGCGUAGAUAUCAGGAGGAACACCGGUGGCGAAGGCGGCUUUCUGGACAGAAACUGACACUGAGGCGCGAAAGCUAGGGGAGCAAACAGG
rnacentral:rRNA from 1 species